UGGGGGAUAUUGCACAAUGGGGGGGAACCCGUGAUGCAGCGACGCCGCGUGAGCGAUGAAGUAUUUCGGUAUGUAAAGCUCUAUCAGCAGGGAAGAAAAUGACGGUACCUGACUAAGAAGCCCCGGCUAACUACGUGCC
rnacentral:rRNA from 1 species